rnacentral:lncRNA from 1 species
UAUCACGGUGUCAAGGCAUAUGAACUAACAGAUUAUAGAGCAAACAACGCAAUUAUCACAACACAGGUUAUAAUAUGGAUUUUUUUACUGGAUUGGCUUCCCCGGGUGAUUUUACCCACGCACUGCUACUGCGCACACUUGUUUAGUAUAGGAGUGAAAAUGGGCUUCCAUAAAGUUGGUGCAUAGUUUUAAUGCAUACAACAAACGUAUAACAUGAUGGCUGUGACUAGUGUAUGGCCAGUAGUGUCGUAAUGGUGCCUGCUGGUUGCAUAUGGUACUUUGAAGACAACUGGGAACAAAUGGAGGACAGGAGAGAUGGUUUGUCAAGGAGUCCCCGGACUAAAAGACAGGCUGAUACAGCUGGAGGACAGGAGAGAUGGUUUGUCAAGGAGUCCCCUGACUAAAAGACAGGCUGAUACAGAUGUCUGAACUGAGAGAGACCUUGCACUGAGCUUUAAAAUUAUACAAGACACAUAUAUUACUUUUCGUCGUCUUUUUGUUAUUAUUGAAUGGUAGGGGGGCGGGGACUGUCUUAUAUGGGACACCAUAUGAAGGGAUGACGACUAACAUGUACCCUCAGACAAAAUGCUGAUAGCUACAGUAUCUAUAUCGGAUGUGAAUGACAAUAGAAGAUGAAAGACAAGUGUCAUAUUUGCACAUUGUUAUAUUAGCAGAACACUGCUUCUACAGUAUUAUGUGAAGGAUGGUUUAUUCUACUUGGAACUUACACUUGAAAGUUAUCAGAACACUUUGUUUGGAAUAUCAGCACAAGUUCAGCAAUUGCACUCUUCUCAUACUGCUCUGUAGGCUACUGACCAAUUCAAAGCUUCCUCCUGGAGGACAUAUCCAGGAUGGAGUGUCAUGCACUCCACCCCUCCUGCCACCUGACUGCAUCUGUCCAUAACCUGUAAUACAUGACAUAGAUGGAAGGGACUUCAUCAGCCACUGGAGACUGUAAGACAGAACCUCACCCUGAGAGCUGUGCAUGUCAGUGUGUAGUUAGACAGCCAAACCCUUAGAAUAGACCUUAGAAAUAGAAUAUAAUGCCAUGAUAGUUCUGGCACAGCUGAAGUUGUACCAAAGAUGUUUGUGCUCCUUGUUCUAUCUGGGCUUAUUUUCAUUUGCUAGGUGAAGUGUAGGCAUACUGUCUUUAUAAGCACAUCAAUAUAAUAGCC